UACGGAGGGGCGAGCGUUGUCCGAAGUUACUGGGCGUAAAGCGCGCGUAGGCGGGUUGGCAAGUCCGCUGUGAAAGCCCGGUGCUUAACGCCGGAGGGUCGGUGGAUACUGCCAGUCUUGAAGGUGCUAGGGGAAGAUGGAAUUACCGGUGUAGCGGUGAAAUGCGUAGAUAUCGGUAGGAACACCAGUGGCGAAGGCGGUCUUCUGGAGCACUCUUGACGCUGAGGCGCGAAAGCUGGGGGGAGCGAACGGG
rnacentral:rRNA from 1 species